UCGGGGCUGCGGCGGCGCGGAGCCCCUGGGCAGCCGCGCUGCCACCGCGCUCCUUCCCGCCGCCGGCUCUGCGCCGCUGAUCGGCCUCUGCCUUUCCGUCUCCCGUCCAAGAAGCGCCUCGGAGACGGGAGAAACGGGCGAGUAAAGGCUGGGGACGGGGGUUUCAAAGCGAAAAAGACGAGCGUUCGGAACUUAGAAAUCGGCUUCGGCCGCCGCUUCUCUGGGGGCUGUUUCGGGAGGAGGUCCCAGCAGACAUUUCGGGUUUCGCAAGGAGCGCGGUUUCCUGACAGACGAGCGCACAGGGAGCCGGCUCUGGGGGAAAUCCUGCCGCGGCCUGCGGGGCGGCGCCGCGCUCCCACGGCGCCCGGGCGGCCCGGCUCGGCGGGCGCGGAUGGACGCACACAUGGACGGAUGGGUGGAUGAGCACUGCCAGCGAGCAGUGAUGUCGACAUUAAUUAUGUAGAUACGGGCUCUGGUACUACAAAAUCUAUAAUGAAGGGCAACUAAUCUGAAUGGGAACAGGACUGGGCCCACAAUUCCUGAUAUUCAUUUCAACAUCAGCCUAAACAUGAAAUUUUUGAGAUGGAAAAGCUCACCAUAAUUCAUCAUUACAUUAAAAUGUACCCAUUUUGAAAGUCAAAAAAUUGUAUCUCAAUGGAUACAAUUACUGCUAAAGUCAAUAAAGAGAAACGAU